ACGAGGCACGUCGUAGCCUCCGAUCUUGAUGUCCUCUACUGUUAAUCUUGGCACAAGAAGCGGCGCUGCUGGAUAUAGCCUGAGUGUCUCUGACACUACGUUUUGGAGGUAAGGCAGGUUUGGAAUGUCUGUUUCCUCGAUCAAGCGGUCUUGUCCGAUUUUCUCGUCAAUCUCUAGUUUCAACUUUUCCAACAACUUUGGAUGAUUCAACAAACUCGCCAUCGCCCACUCUAUUGUCACGGCCGAUGUUUCUGAUGCGGCAAACAUGAUACCCUGUUUUGCAGACUAUUAUUAGCUCAUUUGUUAUAUAUAUUAAUGUCGUAAUAUAUAUACUAGUGCUCAUGAAAAGAUAUAUAUAUAUAUAUAUAUUUAUAUAUUAUAAAAUAAAUAAAUCGUAAUAAUUAGUCAAUAUAUAUAUUAAUAUUAUUUAGUUCAGUGGCUAUAUUUCAACAAAAAAUAAGUCGAUAUUUUAAUUUCAUCUAUUUACAAAUUUCUCGUUUUCUAAUUUAUAUACAUAUAUAUAUAUAUAUAACAUUGAAUCAAAGAUCCUAACGCCAACGUCACAAUCUUGUUCGCUAAUCCUGCGCCUGGACACAUUCUCCGUCCACUUCCAAAGGUUAUCAGCAUACGGACAUCGUCCUUUUCUCCUUCUCCUCCACCGUUAAACCUAUCUGGAUUAAACCUCUCUGGUUCCGUCCACAGUUCUGGAUCCCUGUGUAUACUCCACGCGUUCACCAUGACCAUCGUCUCACGAGGCACGUCGUAGCCUCCGAUCUUGAUGUCCUCUACUGUUAAUCUUGGCACAAGAAGCGGCGCUGCUGGAUAUAGCCUGAGUGUCUCUGACACUACGUUUUGGAGGUAAGGCAGGUUUGGAAUGUCUGUUUCCUCGAUCAAGCGGUCUUGUCCGAUUUUCUCGUCAAUCUCUAGUUUCAACUUUUCCAACAACUUUGGAUGAUUCAACAAACUCGCCAUCGCCCACUCUAUUGUCACGGCCGAUGUUUCUGAUGCGGCAAACAUGAUACCCUGUUUUGCAGACUAUUAUUAGCUCAUUUGUUAUAUAUAUUAAUGUC
rnacentral:lncRNA from 1 species